GACGAACGCUGGCGGCGUGCUUAACACAUGCAAGUCGAGCGGUAAGGCUCCUUCGGGAGUACACGAGCGGCGAACGGGUGAGUAACACGUGAGUAACCUGCCCCAUUCAUCGGAAUAACCAGUGGAAACGCUGGCUAAUGCCGAAUACGACCACCGAAGGCAUCUUCUGGUGGUGGAAAGCUCCGGCGGAGUGGGAUGGACUCGCGGCCUAUCAGCUUGUUGGUGAGGUAACGGCUCACCAAGGCGACGACGGGUAGCCGGCCUGAGAGGGUGACCGGCCACACUGGGACUGAGACACGGCCCAGACUCCUACGGGAGGCAGCAGUGGGGAAUAUUGGACAAUGGGCGAAAGCCUGAUCCAGCAACGCCGCGUGAGGGAUGACGGCCUUCGGGUUGUAAACCUCUUUCAGCAGGGACGAAGCGAAAGUGACGGUACCUGCAGAAGAAGGACCGGCCAACUACGUG
rnacentral:rRNA from 1 species